rnacentral:rRNA from 1 species
CAGUAGCCACGGUAAUGCGUAGGUGGCAAGCGUUGUCCGGAAUUAUUGGGCGUAAAGGGCUCGCAGGCGGUUUCUUAAGUCUGAUGUGAAAGCCCCCGGCUCAACCGGGGAGGGUCAUUGGAAACUGGGAAACUUGAGUGCAGAAGAGGAGAGUGGAAUUCCACGUGUAGCGGUGAAAUGCGUAGAGAUGUGGAGGAACACCAGUGGCGAAGGCGACUCUCUGGUCUGUAACUGACGCUGAGGAGCGAAAGCGUGGGGAGCGAACAGGAUUAGAUACCCCUGUAGUCCCUGUCUCUUAUAA